rnacentral:piRNA from 1 species
CUCUCUCUCAGGAAAGGCCUAACAUUUUG